ensembl:lncRNA CD99P1 CD99 molecule pseudogene 1
ACUCGCGGACGAUCUCUGCUCGCCUUGGGCGCGCCGUGGCGCGCGGGGCCGUGCUGGCGCUGCGGCUCCUCGGCCUGCUCCGCCGUCUGGUGGCCGCCCCGGGCUGACUUUGACUUAGCGAUGCCUUUCCUGAUGGAGGAAACAGUGACCCAGCACCACCUAAUGCCCCCAAACCAAAGCCAGAUCCAAACCCCAACCGACCUGGUUUCACUGGUGACCCAGCACCACCUAAUCCCCCCAAACCAAAGCCAGAUCCAAAUCCCAACUGACCUGGUUUCACUGAUAAGAGCCUCUAACCCUACGGGGUGGUCUCUAUGUUGUUUACCUGGCAGUGAUGUCCGUGUCAUCUGAGAAGAGGAGAUUUCAGGGGCUGACUUUGACUUAGCAGAUGCCUUUCGUGAUGGAGGAAAUAACGACCCAGCACCUCUUAAUUCACCCAAGCUGAAGCCAAAUGCGAACCCUGAGCAGCCUGGAUUCAUUGGGGAUGACUUUGACUUAGCAGAUGCCUUACAUGACAAAGGAAACUACGAGCCAGCACCACUGAACCCACCCAAACCAAAGCCAAAUCCAAACCCCAAGCAGCCUGAUUCCACCGGGGAUGACUUUGAUUUCACAGAUGUUUCUUCAUGGUGAACGAAACAGCACCCUGGGACCAUCCUGGCUGGAAGGCAUAGUGACAUUGCUGGCCUGAGCUGAAGUGCCGAUUAAAAUAAAUUGAAAGCUGAAUUACCUUAUGAACAGCUGCUUUACCCAGGAACAAAUGUGGAGAGGAACUCCUUGAAACUGUGUUCUCAAGUAGACCACUUUUGAGAAAUUAUACAUUUAUCAUAACAUCUCAAGUCCUGCUCUACAUAGAAUGACCAUUAUUAUCAAGAAAAGUUCUCCAUUCCCUGUAAUUCAUAAGGCAAUGCAGGCCUAACCAGAAAACAGGAACUGCGACAACCUUGCAUCAGACACAUUCGAUCUCUCUAUUCAUAGUUGCAUUCUCUUUUUUUUUGUUUACAAAGCCAAUCACCAAUAACUCGGAAAACAAAAACAAAAAAAAAAA